UACGUAGGGUCCGAGCGUUGUCCGGAAUCAUUGGGCGUAAAGCGCAUGUAGGCGGCCCUCUAAGUCGGAUGUGAAAUCCCGAGGCUCAACUUCGGAACUGCAUCCGAUACUGGGGGGCUUGAGGAAGGUAGAGGAGAGUGGAAUUCCCGGUGUAGCGGUGGAAUGCGCAGAUAUCGGGAGGAACACCAGCGGCGAAGGCGGCUCUCUGGGCCUCUCCUGACGCUGAGAUGCGAAAGCGUGGGUAG
rnacentral:rRNA from 1 species